AACGAACGCUGGCGGCGUGCCUAACACAUGCAAGUCGUGCGAGAAAGUUCCUUCGGGAGCGAGUAAAGCGGCGCACGGGUGAGUAACACGUAGGUAACCUGCCCCCCAGUCUGGAACAACUAGAGGAAACUCUAGCUAAUGCCGGAUGAGACCACGAUCCCUUCGGGGGUUGCGGCCAAAGAUGGCCUCUACUUGUAAGCUAUCGCUGAGGGAUGGGCCUGCGGGCCAUUAGCUUGUUGGUGAGGUAACGGCUCACCAAGGCUGUGAUGGCUAGCUGGUCUGAGAGGAUGACCAGCCACACUGGGACUGAGACACGGCCCAGACUCCUACGGGAGGCAGCAGUGGGGAAUAUUGCGCAAUGGGCGAAAGCCUGACGCAGCGACGCCGCGUGGGUGAUGAAGGCCUCGGUCGUAAGCCUCGUCGCACGGGGAAGGAAGUAAGACGA
rnacentral:rRNA from 1 species